AAACCAACAGGGAUUGCCCUAGUAACGGCGAGUGAAGCGGCAACAGCUCAAAUUUGAAAUCNGGCGUCUUUGGCGUCCGAGUUGUAAUUUGCAGAGGGCGCUUUGGCAUUGGCAGCGGUCCAAGUUCCUUGGAACAGGACGUCACAGAGGGUGAGAAUCCCGUACGUGGUCGCUAGCCUUUACCGUGUAAAGCCCCUUCGACGAGUCGAGUUGUUUGGGAAUGCAGCUCUAAAUGGGAGGUAAAUUUCUUCUAAAGCUAAAUACUGGCCAGAGACCGAUAGCGCACAAGUAGAGUGAUCGAAAGAUGAAAAGCACUUUGGAAAGAGAGUUAAAAAGCACGUGAAAUUGUUGAAAGGGAAGCGCUUGCAGCCAGACUUGCCUGUAGUUGCUCAUCCAGGUUUCUACCUGGUGCACUCUUCUAUAGGCAGGCCAGCAUCAGUUUGGGCGGUUGGAUAAAGGUCUCUGUCAUGUACCUCUCUUCGGGGAGAACUUAUAGGGGAGACGACANGCAACCAGCCUGGACUGAGGUCCGCGCAUCUGCUAGGAUGCUGGCGUAAUGGCUGUAAGCGGC
rnacentral:rRNA from 1 species